AUAACGACUCUCGGCAACGGAUAUCUCGGCUCUCGCAUCGAUGAAGAACGUAGCGAAAUGCGAUACUUGGUGUGAAUUGCAGAAUCCCGUGAACCAUCGAGUCUUUGAACGCAAGUUGCGCCCGAAGCCAYUAGGCUGAGGGCACGUCUGCCUGGGCGUCACG
rnacentral:rRNA from 1 species